GGCGCCGUGGCCGAGUGGUUAGGCAGCGGCCUGCAAAGCCGCGUACAGCGGUUCGAAUCCGCUCGGCGCCU
rnacentral:tRNA from 1 species